UACGUAGGGUGCAAGCGUUAAUCGGAAUUACUGGGCGUAAAGCGCGCGUAGGCGGCUUUGCAAGCCGGAUGUGAAAUCCCCGGGCUUAACCUGGGAACUGCAUUCGGGACUGCAUUGCUAGAGUAUGGGAGAGGGAAGUGGAAUUUCAGGUGUAGCGGUGAAAUGCGUAGAUAUCUGAAGGAACAUCAGUGGCGAAAGCGAUUUCCUGGACCAAUACUGACGCUCAUGUGCGAAAGCGUGGGGAGCAAACAGG
rnacentral:rRNA from 1 species